UCAGUUUUCACGUUUUACUUUAGUUGAAAGUUCAAACAACACUUUAACCCUAAUUUUUUAGUAUUUAUAGAUAGAGUCAAAAUUCAGAGCAAAGAGGAUUCUGAAACAGAAACAAGUCUAAAAUCUUCAUCUUCUUCAAUUCAAUUCAAUUCUAAGCUUUCAAUAGUAUCAAAGCACACUUUCCUCACAACCACAACCACAACCGUUGGCACCACCACCAUCACAACAGCCAAUCACCAGCGCUUCCUUCUCCUUCAUCACAGAUCCAGCGCGGAAGAGGUGUUUGAAAGAGAGGAAACAAAAAGGGAAAACUAGCUAGGUGAAGCUCGAUGGAGUUUGAUGUUAGUGAUGCUACUUUUGAGGAUGAUUUCGUACCGACUGUAAUUUCUUUGAUUAAUCAAGCCGAAGAUCAAUUUAAUGGCUACAAAGAAAAUUGAUGAACACUGGCCACUAUUAUUAGACGAGAAAAUGCUGGAUAUUUUCAUAACUGCCCAGGAGAAGGGUAGAAGCAGCAAAGACUCAAAAUAUUGGGAUGAAGCUGUAUCUGAGGUUAACCGCCUCAUCGAACAAAACUUUCCUACGGAGAGACCUAGAGAUGAAGCAUCUUUGCGGAAGAGACUGAAACAAUUACGGAGGAACCCCCUGAGAAUCUAGCUAAGAAAAUCGAAGAUCUGUUUAAGUUCCACAAAAUGAUAAUUUCCACCGUACGUCCAGGACCAUACACUCAUAGUUUAGGUAGUGGCCAGUCUUCGGGCCAGUCUUCGGGUGGAUCUUCAGGAGGAGGACCUAUUUGUCGACAUCGCUCGACCACAAAUCCAUCUUUCUCUCUGCACGUGAAGUCUCCAGAAUAGUAUACUGAGAAAAAUAAGUAUAAACAUAGAAAGAGGUGUUUCAAUAAUCCUCUAUAUAUGUAUCUAGCUAGGUGAAGCUCGAUGGAGUUUGAUGUUACUGAUGCUACUUUUGAGGAUGAUUUCAUACCGACUGUAAUUUCUUUGAUUAAUCAAGACAAGUUCGAGGUAAAUGAUUUUGAUGGGGCUGUUAAUUUGGAGACCGAUGUGGACACAUUGCUGCGAAACAUACUUGAUAGCACCAAGGGUAUCCUCUGAUACAUGUCAAGGGAUAUCCUCUAAUCCCUAACUCAGACUCGACGAUCUGGGUUAAGGUCAUGCGAGAAAGUUUGAACGGUAGAUAUUUCCUUAGGUUAACUGCAAGCUGUGUCGUGAAUGGCGGAGUUUGUCGACCACAACUUCAGGAUCCAGAAAUCCGACGAACUCCACCGCUGGGUUAGCAAGGAAAUCUCUCAAUGCUGGAGUAAUUUCUUUCGCCCUUUCAAGCUGAUACAGCAAGACCUUUGUUCCGACACAAAGUUGCAGGGUUGCAGCAUACCGGGGAACAUCCCACUGAAGCCCCAGUCCGACUCGAAGUCGGUUCCCGGGAAGGUUCCGAACCAACUCCGGUGAACCGAGGCUUCCAAGGUCGUCGUACAUCUUACAGUAGUCCCUCAAUGUAUUCUUAAGCCAUAAACCUGCACUGUCACUGAAACAUUAAAUAGUUCACUACUUUCAAUCAAGAAAAUGAGAUCUUCAGGAUCAUCAGGUAACAUGUUGGCAAUGAUAUUUUCAGAUCGGGCGGGAGAGAAAAUUUCUGCGCAACUCGCCUAUCUUCGCGAGAUUGGGCGUUUGUCCGUUGAUCAAUUGAAAGAUUCUAUUGAACUUUUUUCUGAUGGAUCUGAGCUAAAGAAUGUGACAAGACGUGAAACAUUUCUCAAGAUGUGAUAAGACGUGAAACUAUCCCUUGAUAAGGAUGCAGCAAGGAAGAACAUAAUGUAUUAGUGGCCUAAGUUGUCAAGUUGCUUUUGAUGUAUUUUGAACAUUAGUGGCAUAUAUUGCCAACUUAAUUUUAAGUGUAUUUUGAAUAUUAAUGGCUUAUGUUGGCCUAUUUUGAAUACACUGAGAAAUAUCUGUUAUGUUAGAAUACGCUGAGAAAUAUGCUAUUAACCAAGUGUGGAUUGGAUUAAGGAUAAUCCUACUUUGAGGAACCAUAUUGAUAUAGUGUUCAGCCCCGAUCCCGUGAAGGACAGCAAGGGUUGCCUAUCGGUUAACAAGAUCAAGGUAAUACAAGGUAUGGACUUUCAUGAACAAGUUGGUGAAUGUAGUGACAUCCCUAACGGAACGGGCGGGUUAAGGAUCUUCUUCAUUUUGGUCUCCACAGCUAGGUGAAGCUCCAUGCACUUUGAUGUUAAUGAUAUUAUUGUUGAGAAUAAUUUCAUAAUGAACAUAAUUUCUUUGAUUAAUUAGGUGAGUUUACAAUUUUGUAUCUUGAAUAGUAUCAAACAUUUGUUUUGUUUUGAUAUAAUAUAUUUACAACUAGAAGGACAUAUUUUAUAUA